AUUGAACGCUGGCGGCAGGCUUAACACAUGCAAGUCGAGCGGGGUGAUGGUGCUUGCACUAUCACUUAGCGGCGGACGGGUGAGUAAUGCUUAGGAAUCUGCCUAUUAGUGGGGGACAACAUCUCGAAAGGGAUGCUAAUACUGCAUACGUCCUACGGGAGAAAGCAGGGGAUCACUUGUGACCUUGCGCUAAUAGAUGAGCCUAAGUCGGAUUAGCUAGUUGGUGGGGUAAAGGCCUACCAAGGCGACGAUCUGUAGCGGGUCUGAGAGGAUGAUCCGCCACACUGGGACUGAGACACGGCCCAGACUCCUACGGGAGGCAGCAGUGGGGAAUAUUGGACAAUGGGGGGAACCCUGAUCCAGCCAUGCCGCGUGUGUGAAGAAGGCCUUAUGGUUGUAAAGCACUUUAAGCGAGGAGGAGGCUCUUUUGGUUAAUACCCAAGAUGAGUGGACGUUACUCGCAGAAUAAGCACCGGCUAACUCUGUGUCAGCAGCCGCCGUAA
rnacentral:rRNA from 1 species